rnacentral:ncRNA from 2 species
ACUGCCAUAACUCCGAGCUCACUGUGCUAAGUCAAAAAUAUUGAUGUAGAUCAAAAAGAUCCGAAAAUUAUUUAGAUAAGCACUUUGAGCCAGUGACGUGUUGUCACAAGGGUAAAAUUGGAAAUGAUUUUGCCUCCCAUACUUGGAAAGGUGUUCCGUGGCACAACAA